AUUGAACGCUGGCGGCAUGCCUUACACAUGCCAGUCGAACGGCAGCACGGGUGCUUGCACCUGGUGGCGAGUGGCGAACGGGUGAGUAAUACAUCGGAACAAGUCCUGUAGUGGGGGAUAGCCCGGCGAAAGCCGGAUUAAUACCGCAUACGAUCUACGGAUGAAAGCGGGGGACCUUCGGGCCUCGCGCUAUAGGGUUGGCCGAUGGCUGAUUAGCUAGUUGGUGGGGUAAAGGCCUACCAAGGCGACGAUCAGUAGCUGGUCUGAGAGGACGACCAGCCACACUGGGACUGAGACACGGCCCAGACUCCUACGGGAGGCAGCAGUGGGGAAUUUUGGACAAUGGGCGAAAGCCUGAUCCAGCAAUGCCGCGUGUGUGAAGAAGGCCUUCGGGUUGUAAAGCACUUUUGUCCGGAAAGAAAUCCUUGGCCCUAAUACGGUCGGGGGAUGACGGUACCGGAAGAAUAAGCACCGGCUAACUACGUG
rnacentral:rRNA from 1 species